rnacentral:rRNA from 1 species
GAUGAACGCUAGCUACAGGCUUAACACAUGCAAGUCGAGGGGUAACGAGAGGGAAGCUUGCUUUCCUUGUCGACGACCGGCGCACGGGUGAGUAACGCGUAUCCAACCUGCCCCCAACUAGGGAAUAACCUUGCGAAAGUAAGACUAAUACCCUAUAAUUUCCUCAGAUGUCAUCUGACGAGGAAUAAAGAUUUAUCGGUUGUGGAUGGGGAUGCGUCUGAUUAGCUUGUUGGCGGGGUAACGGCCCACCAAGGCAACGAUCAGUAGGGGUUCUGAGAGGAAGGUCCCCCACAUUGGAACUGAGACACGGUCCAAACUCCUACGGGAGGCAGCAGUGAGGAAUAUUGGUCAAUGGGCGGAAGUCUGAACCAGCCAAGUAGCGUGCAGGAUGACGGCCCUAUGGGUUGUAAACUGCUUUUAUACAGGAGUAAAGUUAGCCACGUGUGGUUAUUUGUAGGUACUGUAUGAAUAAGGACCGGCUAAUUCCGUGCCAGCCGCCGCGGUAA